rnacentral:rRNA from 1 species
CGGGACGGGUGAGUAAUGUCUGGGAAACUGCCUGAUGGAGGGGGAUAACUACUGGAAACGGUAGCUAAUACCGCAUAACGUCGCAAGACCAAAGAGGGGGACCUUCGGGCCUCUUGCCAUCGGAUGUGCCCAGAUGGGAUUAGCUAGUAGGUGGGGUAACGGCUCACCUAGGCGACGAUCCCAGCUGGUCUGAGAGGAUGACCAGCCACACUGGAACUGAGACACGGUCCAG